GAGGGAUUGAGGAGGUGAUCUAGUGAAGAGGAGGGCAACAAAGCCUUAAAUUAAACACAUACCAGAGAUGGCAAAAAUAAGAUGUAGAAAUUGAGAGCUAUUUAGAUGGCAAAGGGAUGGACCAGUAGAAAUAGGAAGAAUGAAGACACAGUCAUUAGGAUGACAUCCCAGAGAAAAAGAGGAGGUGGGAUUCACUGCAAAGUGAAGAGAGGACUCUUCCAAAGAAAAGAGACACCCCUUCUGCUCCAUCAGGGGAGAAGCUGGGAGAGAAUCUACCCAUGAGGAUGACCAAGCAGCCUGCUCUGAGACGGAGAGUCUUGAGGACAAAGAGGGGACAGAAAGCAGAGGAGAAGCUAAAGACAGGCAGAGCUCCUGGACAAAGAAGGAAGAACAUUCAGUGAAAGGAGAGCACAAGGAAAGAAGAAAAACCAGCUGUGAGUUUCUCUCCACGAAGCUUUCUUCCAGGACUGGAAGCACUCUUACUGCAUUCCUCCCCCGAAGCCACACUAAGGAAUUCUGUCAACAUUGUAAAGAAGUCCAGAUUGA